GAGAGCAAGACCUGCAUAAAUAUCAGAAGUCUAAAAUCAUGGUAUCUUGAGAUCAGGCUUUGGUGGAGUAACUUCUUGAAAAUUUUAAUUAUGAAACCUCUAAGCCAUAUGCUUUUAGAUUGACGUAAGGUGACACAAUUUUAUGAGCUCAUAGCCUGACCAAGCUCGACAUUGGUUGAGCUGUCUAAGUUAAAUAAUAUAAU
rnacentral:misc_RNA from 1 species